rnacentral:rRNA from 1 species
UGCCAGCCGCCGCGGUAAUACCAAGGCGGCUAGCGUUGUUCGGAAUCACUGGGCGCAAAGCGUAUGUAGGCGGAUCAAAAUGUUAGAUGUGAAAUCCCUGGGCUCAACCCAGGAACCGCAUUUAAAACUAGUGAUCUAGAAUUUGGUAGGGGUUAGUAGAAUUUCCAGUGUAGAGGUGAAAUUCGUAGAUAUUGGAAAGAAUACCAGUGGCGAAGGCGACUAACUGGGCCAUUUUUGACGCUGAGAUACGAAAGCGUGGGUAGCAAACAGGAUUAGAUA